rnacentral:rRNA from 1 species
UACGUAGGGGGCUAGCGUUGUCCGGAUUUAUUGGGCGUAAAGAGCGUGUAGGCGGCCAGGUAGGUCUGCUGUGAAAACUCGAGGCUUAACCUCGAGAUGUCGGCGGAAACCAUCUGGCUAGAGUCCGGAAGAGGAGAGUGGAAUUCCUGGUGUAGCGGUGAAAUGCGCAGAUAUCAGGAAGAACGCCCGUGGCGAAGGCGGCUCUCUGGGACGGUACUGACGCUGAGACGCGAAAGCGUGGGGAGCGAACAGG